GCCGCCGCUCGAACCUUUGACCACGGCGGCUGUCAGAAGGUUGGUCCUAAGGUAGCAAAAUUCAUUGACAGGUAAAUUCCGUCCAGCAUGAGCGAGGAAACGACUUUCUCUCUGUCACUAGCAUUGUUUCUUAGAAAUUGAGUUAUUCUUGUUUACGAGAAAAGUAACGGCCAGACGAAAAGACCCUG
rnacentral:rRNA from 1 species